UACGUAGGGUGCGAGCGUUGUCCGGAAUGAUUGGGCGUAAAGCGUCUGUAGGUGGCUUUUUAAGUCCGCCGUCAAAUCCCAGGGCUCAACUCUGGACAGGCGGUGGAAACUACCAAGCUGGAGUACGGUAGGGGCGGACGGAACUUCCGGUGGAGCGGUGAAAUGCGUAGAUAUCGGAAGGAACGCCGGUGGCGAAAGCGGUCCGCUGGAUCUCUUCUGACGCUGAGGCGCGGAAAGCCAG
rnacentral:rRNA from 1 species